ACGUAGGGUGCGAGCGUUAAUCGGAAUUACUGGGCGUAAAGCGUGCGCAGGCGGUCUUGCAAGACAGGUGUGAAAUCCCCGGGCUUAACCUGGGAACUGCACUUGUGACUGCAAGGCUGGAGUACGGCAGAGGGGGAUGGAAUUCCGCGUGUAGCAGUGAAAUGCGUAGAUAUGCGGAGGAACACCGAUGGCGAAGGCAAUCCCCUGGGCCUGUACUGACGCUCAUGCACGAAAGCGUGGGGAGCAAACAGG
rnacentral:rRNA from 1 species